rnacentral:rRNA from 1 species
CACGUAGGGCGCAAGCGUUGUCCGGAAUUAUUGGGCGUAAAGAGCUCGUAGGCGGUCUGUUACGUCUGCUGUGAAAACCCAGGGCUUAACCCUGGGCUUGCAGUGGAUACGGGCAGACUAGAGGCAGGUAGGGGAGAAUGGAAUUCCCGGUGUAGCGGUGAAAUGCGCAGAUAUCGGGAGGAACACCGGUGGCGAAGGCGGUUCUCUGGGCAGUAACUGACGCUGAGGAGCGAAAGCGUGGGGAGCGAACAGG